rnacentral:rRNA from 1 species
CCUACGUGAGGCAGCAGUGGGGAAUAUUGCACAAUGGGGGAAACCCUGAUGCAGCGACGCCGCGUGAGUGAAGAAGUACUUCGUUAUGUAAAGCUCUAUCAGCAGGGAAGAAAAUGACGGUACCUGCGUAAGACGCCCCGGCUAACUACGUGCCAGCAGCCGCGGUAAUACGUAGGGGGCAAGCGUUAUCCGGAUUUACUGGGUGUACAGGGAGCGUAGACGGCAGUGCAAGUCUGGAGUGAAAGGCGGGGGCUCAACCCCCGGACUGCUCUGGAAACUGUACGGCUGGAGUGCAGGAGAGGUAAGUGGAAUUCCUAGUGUAGCGGUGAAAUGCGUAGAUAUUAGGAGGAACACCAGUGGCGAAGGCAGCUUACUGGACUGUAACUGACGUUGAGGCUCGAAAGCGUGGGGAGCAAACAGGAUUAGAUACCCCAGUAGUC